GUGCGCGAGGGCGCGCGCGUCCCGAGCCCUCCACCCGUCGUGCCGGCGCCGCCCGGACCGCCAGAUGCUGUGUGCUGUGGACCCACCUGGGGUUCAUGGAGUGGGCCACGGGGCCCAGCCCUAAGCACUGCUGCGCCCAGGGUCGCCGCGCCUCCUGCUGAGGGGUCCCCGUGCCACUGGCUCUCACCAUUGCCCUCGCCUGCCGAUGGCCUCUGCUGCCCAGCCUGGGGCCAGCUCUACCGCCUGAGCCCCCUGCCCCACUCCAGGACUCACCGUACCCCGAUGGGGUAACGUGACACAGGCCCCACACGUCAGAGGCCGCUGUCCCCACGGCCACUGCCCGUGACCCCUGGCCCAAGGCAGCUGGAGUUGGUUCAGUUCAAGUUCAUUCUUCCUCUGGCCCUUGGGGGCUUGGGGCCCACCUCUGAGUGAAGGGGGCUGUCUGCCCAUCCACCAAUGUGGAGAGGGCGCCCCCGGUGUGGGGUCCAGCUCUGGACACUGCUUGGCGGCCGGGUUCACUUUGAGUUUUUAAGUUUUCUUUGCUGAGCUUUUUUGGUUGUUCUUUUUAUUUUUUGCCUCUUUAUGACUAUCCAGCUCUGAGAGACGGGAGUUUGGAGUUGCCCGCUUUACUUUGGUUGGGUUGGGGGGGGCGGCGGGCUGUUUUGUUCCUUUUCUUUUUUAAGAGUUGGGUUUUCUUUUUUAAUUAUCCAAACAGUGGGCAGCUUCCUCCCCCACACCCAAGUAUUUGCACAAUAUUUGUGCGGGGUAUGGGGGUGGGUUUUUAAAUCUCGUUUCUCUUGGACAAGCACAGGGAUCUCGUUCUCCUCAUUUUUUGGGGGUGUGUGGGG
rnacentral:lncRNA from 10 species